rfam:Trachymyrmex cornetzi contig49870, whole genome shotgun sequence.
GCCUCGGUAGUCUAAAGGCUUAGGACACUCGCACGAAAUGUAAGAGAUCUGGGUUCGACUCCCGACCGAGGUA